AACGGCUACUACAUCCAAGGAAGGCAGCAGGCGCGCAAAUUACCCAAUCCCGAUUCGGGGAGGUAGUGACAAUAAAUACUGAUACAGGGCUCUUUUGGGUCUUGUAAUUGGAAUGAGUACAAUUUAAAUCCCUUAACGAGGAACAAUUGGAGGGCAAGUCUGGUGCCAGCAGCCGCGGUAAUUCCAGCUCCAAUAGCGUAUAUUAAAGUUGUUGUGGUUAAAAAGCUCGUAGUUGAACCUUGGGCCUGGCUGGCCGGUCCGCCUCACCGCGUGUACUGGUCCGGCCGGGUCUUUCCCUCUGUGGAACCCCAUGCCCUUCACUGGGUGUGGCGGGGAAACAGGACUUUUACUUUGAAAAAAUUAGAGUGCUCCAGGCAGGCCUAUGCUCGAAUACAUUAGCAUGGAAUAAUGAAAUAGGACGUGCGGUUCUAUUUUGUUGGUUUCUAGGACCGCCGUAAUGAUUAAUAGGGACAGUCGGGGGCAUCAGUAUUCAAUUGUCAGAGGUGAAAUUCUUGGAUUUAUUGAAGACUAACUACUGCGAAAGCAUUUGCCAAGGAUGUUUUCAUUAAUCAGGAACGAAAGUUAGGGGAUCGAAGACGAUCAGAUACCGUCGUAGUCUUAACCAUAAACUAUGCCGACUAGGGAUCGGACGAUGUUAUUUUUUGACUCGUUCGGCACCUUACGAGAAAUCAAAGUGCUUGGGCUCCAGGGGGAGUAUGGUCGCAAGGCUGAAA
rnacentral:rRNA from 1 species